rnacentral:rRNA from 1 species
AUUGAACGCUGGCGGCAUGCCUUACACAUGCAAGUCGAACGGCAGCACGGGUGCUUGCACCUGGUGGCGAGUGGCGAACGGGUGAGUAAUACAUCGGAACGUACCUUAUCGUGGGGGAUAACGCAGCGAAAGUUGCGCUAAUACCGCAUACGCCCUGAGGGGGAAAGCGGGGGACCGUAAGGCCUCGCGCGCUUAGAGCGGCCGAUGUCUGAUUAGCUUGUUGGUGAGGUAAAAGCUCACCAAGGCGAUGAUCAGUAGCUGGUCUGAGAGGACGAUCAGCCACACUGGGACUGAGACACGGCCCAGACUCCUACGGGAGGCAGCAGUGGGGAAUUUUGGACAAUGGGGGCAACCCUGAUCCAGCAAUGCCGCGUGAGUGAAGAAGGCCUUCGGGUUGUAAAGCUCUUUUGUCAGGGAAGAAACAGCAGCUCUAACACAGUUUGCGAAUGACGGUACCUGAAGAAUAAGCACCGGCUAACUACGUGCCAGCAGCCGCGGUAA